CCUACGGGGGGCAGCAGUGAGGAAUAUUGGUCAAUGGACGAGAGUCUGAACCAGCCAAGUAGCGUGAAGGAUGACUGCCCUAUGGGUUGUAAACUUCUUUUAUAUGGGAAUAAAAUGUUCCACGUGUGGGAUUUUGUAUGUACCAUAUGAAUAAGGAUCGGCUAACUCCGUGCCAGCAGCCGCGGUAAUACGGAGGAUCCGAGCGUUAUCCGGAUUUAUUGGGUGUAAAGGGAGCGUAGGUGGAUUGUUAAGUCAGUUGUGAAAGUUUGCGGCUCAACCGUAAAAUUGCAGUUGAAACUGGCAGUCUUGAGUACAGUAGAGGUAGGCGGAAUUCGUGGUGUAGCGGUGAAAUGCUUAGAUAUCACGAAGAACUCCGAUUGCGAAGGCAGUUCACUGGACUGCAACUGACACUGAGGCUCGAAAGUGUGGGUAUCAAACAGGAUUAGAUACCCGUGUAGUC
rnacentral:rRNA from 1 species